UAGCUCGUUGUUGUGUGAUUUUAUUUCUGAAAAAGGGUGUGUAUGAAACAGCGCGAUCUGAAACAUCGAACAAUUUAUUCCAGCGAAAGUAUAACUAAAGAUCAUCCGGUCACUCGAACUAUGGGAGCUGUUUACCUCUUGCUGGUGAAAACACCUUUUAAAGCAUCAUUCUAAAGGUUUAUGCAAAUUUAAGAUGUUCAAUAAACGACGAAUAAGGAAAAUGAACGAUAUGAAGAUGAAGAAGAUAAGACUGAGAGCUGCUGAUGUACAACUGACUUCUGCUGCUAUAAAUGAGGAAAAAGAAAAGUCGAUCGGAAAACGUAUUGAUCAGUCAAAACGGCCAGAGAUUGAGCAUAAGCAAGGACAAAAAGUGGCUGGCCAAAAGCAGCCGCAAGCCAGUAAUGAAAAAUUACCCAAAAUCAAAACCGACCACCUGACGCUUUGCCAAAACAUCUUUGAUUACUAUGCGUUCUUAGGAUUGUUCUUCGGCAUCGUAUGUCGGUACGAUUGGAAUAGGUACAGACACUGUUUCUUCUGGUUCACAAAUUUUCUGCUGAUUGCGGCUAAUUUUUGUAUCGGAUACACUGCCUACAUUUACUAUCAACAUGAUAUGACCAUUAAAAUCUUAGAACCGUUUGCAGUGUCUGGCGUUGCUAUUACGUGCACCUUGAAGUGGGGAGUCUUUCUGAAGUACACAAACAACUUGCUCGCAAUAAUGUUUGCAGUGAAGAAAAUUUGCGAAGAAACGACAACCGGCGACAGAGUGGAUGUCAUCAUUGCAAGCUUGAAAAAAACCUACUCAUUACUACGUGCCCUUGCUGCAGCACUUACCGUGGUGAUGCUGUUCUUCGUGUCCAUUCCAUUAAAGUUUUUCUUCGUCGAUGAUAUCUAUUAUCCACUAUUGCCAAUUGUGGUUCCGUUUUUCCAACAAGACACGUUGAAAGGCUACUUAUGCACGACUUUUUUCCAGUCGGUUUUGGGUGUCUACAGCGGUAUCUCAACUCUUAUGUACGUAAAACUGUGUGCCGCCGGUACACGGUUCUAUCAAAAAUCCCUGACCUACAGGAAACGUCAGUGAAAUUUAGACAUAAAUUUGCUAGUGUACCAGUUGAAAAACAGCUGAAGCAACAUCAUGUCUAAAUUUCUCUGGUUGUUUUAUCGGAUAGGGAAUUUCAAUGAAAAUAGAUUCGGCACCUCAUUUCUUGUCGUCAUAUGCAAUUACGGUCUGCUGGUUAACUUAAUCGAGCUGGACUUUAAGGACUUGAACGAUAUUUGGAGUCCCUACAGUAAAACGCCCAUUGCGGUUAGGCAUGCCUGCCUAAAUAAUAUCGCUGCUAAGCUGCGGGACAUGCAAAUAUACCUACGGGAAGUGAGGCAAAUUUAUGAGACAAAAUUUUUCGUAUACUUUCUGGUCAGUCAUAUUGGUCAGGUUAUGAGUCUAUACCAAAUCACAGAGAAAGGCUGGAUACCUGGUUACACGUCUCUUUUCACCAUCUUUGCUGAAAUGAUGUUUUACUGCAUGGUCGGAUCACAAACAAUCGCACUGGGUGAUAAAUUGUGUUACUUCAUCCAACAAACCGAUUGGUAUGCAUACGACUUACGGUCUCAGAAAACAAUUCGGCUGAUCUUACAACAGUGUCAGCUGCCUUGCCGGAUAUCACUUAAAUUUCUAGGAACAUUAAAUAUGGCCACUGGAAUGAGGGUUCUUAAGGGCAUCUACUUUUAUUACACCGUUAUGACAGACGUUAUGACGGAAAAAUAAAACAAAAUACCUGCAAGGAGCAAUGAAAACUUAUAAGUCAGAGACAGACGCUACAAAUUAUCAUCGUCAAAAAGGACAAUCCACAACGGACGUCUUCAAGAAGGCAACGGCUAAGGUGACUCGCCAUUUUAUAGGUGCCAAGGAAAAGGUAAUCCUGUGUACGAUGGGAGCAAUUUCAGAAUAUAAUGAUUGUUUGAAA